rnacentral:sRNA from 1 species
GGGAAGGAAGGGAUGACUGGUGACAGAGUGAGGGAAUGACUGGUGACAGAGUGAGAGAGGGGUGACUAGUGACCGAGUGAGGGAGGGAGUGGGUGACUAGUGACAGAGUGAGGAAGGGGGUGACACAGUGAUAGUCACCCCAUUCCUCCCUCUGUCACUAAUCACCACCUCCCUCACUCUCACUAGUCACACCCUCCCUCUCUCUGUCACUAGUCACACCCUUACUGUCACUAGUCACACCCUUACUCACUGUCACUAGUCACACCCUCCCUCUCUCUGUCACUAGUCACACCCUUACUCACUGUCACUAGUCACACCCUCCCUCUCUC